rnacentral:rRNA from 1 species
GAUGAACGCUGGCGGCGUGCCUAAUACAUGCAAGUCGAGCGAACAGAUGAGGAGCUUGCUCCUCUGACGUUAGCGGCGGACGGGUGAGUAACACGUGGAUAACCUACCUAUAAUACUGGGAUAACUUCGGGAAACCGGAGCUAAUACCGGAUAAUAUAUUGAACCGCAUGGUUCAAUAGUGAAAGACGGCUUUGCUGUCACGUAUAGAUGGAUCCGCGCCGCAUUAGCUAGUUGGUAAGGUAACGGCUUACCAAGGCAACGAUGCGUAGCCGACCUGAGAGGGUGAUCGGCCACACUGGAACUGAGACACGGUCCAGACUCCUACGGGAGGCAGCAGUAGGGAAUCUUCCGCAAUGGGCGAAAGCCUGACGGAGCAACGCCGCGUGAGUGAUGAAGAUCUUCGGAUCGUAAAACUCUGUUAUUAGGGAAGAACAAAUGUGUAAGUAACUAUGCACGUCUUGACGGUACCUAAUCAGAAAGCCACGGCUAACUACGUG